rnacentral:rRNA from 1 species
AGAGUUUGAUCCUGGCUCAGGAUGAACGCUGGCGGCGUGCCUAAUACAUGCAAGUCGAACGCUGGAGAUCUAGCUUGCUAGAUCGAAGGAGUGGCGAACGGGUGAGUAAUACAUAAGCAACCUACCCACGAAGACUGGGAUAAUCUCUGGAAACGAGGACUAAUACCGGAUAGGUAAUCGGAAGGCAUCUUCUGGUUAUUAAAGGUUAAAAACACUGGUGGAUGGGCUUAUGGCGCAUUAGUUAGUUGGUGAGGUAACGGCCCACCAAGACGAUGAUGCGUAGCCGGCCUGAGAGGGUGAACGGCCACAUUGGGACUGAGACACGGCCCAGACUCCUACGGGAGGCAGCAGUAGGGAAUAUUGCACAAUGGGCGCAAGCCUGAUGCAGCCAUGCCGCGUGUAUGAAGAAGGCCUUCGGGUUGUAAAGUACUUUCAGCGGGGAGGAAGGGAGUAAAGUUAAUACCUUUGCUCAUUGACGUUACCCGCAGAAGAAGCACCGGCUAACUCCGUGCCAGCAGCCGCGGU